rnacentral:rRNA from 1 species
UAACACAUGCAAGUCGAACGAGAACGGUAUAUUCUUCGGAAUAUAUGUCAGCUAAGUGGCGCACGGGUGAGUAACACGUAGCUACCUGCCUCAUAGACCGGGAUAACAGUUGGAAACGACUGCUAAUACUGGAUAUACCCUAAGGGGGAAAGAUUUUAUCGCUAUGAGAUGGGGCUGCGGUGUAUCAGUUAGUUGGUGAGGUAAAGGCUCACCAAGACUAUGACGCAUAACUGGUCUGAGAGGAUGGUCAGUCACACUGGAACUGAGACACGGUCCAGACUCCUACGGGAGGCAGCAGUGGGGAAUAUUGCACAAUGGAGGAAACUCUGAUGCAGCAAUACCGCGUGGAGGAAGAAGCAUUUCGGUGUGUAAACUCCUUUUAUAUUCGAAGACAAUGACGGUAGAAUAUGAAUAAGUACUGGCUAACUCCGUGCCAGCAGCCGCGGUAAUACGGAGGGUGCAAGCGUUACUCGGAAUCACUGGGCGUAAAGAGCGCGUAGGCGGGUUGUUAAGUUGGAAGUGCAAGCCCACAGCUCAACUGUGGAACUGCUUCCAAAACUGGCAACCUAGAAUUUGGGAGAGGUAAGUGGAAUUCCAGGUGUAGGGGUGAAAUCCGUAGAGAUCA